rnacentral:misc_RNA from 1 species
GUGAAUCAUCAAAUCUUUGAACGCAAAUUGCACUCUCCGGUAUUCCGGAGAGCAUGCCUGUUUGAGGGUCAGUUCAACUCACAAUCGGUGUGGUUGCUGCCUUUCGUGGUGGCGUACCGGUUUUGGGUCGUCUUGCCUUCGGUUUAGUGAUCUAAUAUUUUGCAUGAUUUUUUCGAACGUAUUUAAAUGAUUUUACGUACGUUUGCGAUAUCGAAUACUAGGUGUGGUCAUCCUCAUGAUUCGCGGCUAU